rnacentral:lncRNA from 1 species
GCAUAUGAAGCUUAAGAAGAAGGAAGACCAAAGUAUGGAUGUUUCAGUCCUACUUAGAAGGGAGAACAAAAUAAUCAUGCGAGGUAGAGGAAGGGAGACCUGCGAGAAAGAAAGGGGGUGAAAGAAAGAGGAGCAGAAUCAGCUGUGAGAGGAGACAAGAAAAAAAUACAGAGGGUCGGGAAAUUGAAUGAGGAUGUGACUGAAUGAGGAUUUUAUAGCAGUGGGGCAUAGGGAACUGGGGUUAGCUACAAGAAAGUCCCAGAUGCCAGGAAAACAAGAGGCUCCCAGGACCCAAUGGAGAUGACAUAUUUUGAAAUGCCCAACAAAGGGGAGAGAGAACCUGUAGAGACCAUAUCCAGAAGUUAGGCCCAGGCCCUUGGUUGAGGGAUGGGGCCACCACCCAUCUCAAAAUCAUUAACCCAGAAUUACUCCUGUUUAAAGGAAAUGCAGGGACAAAGAGUGAAGCAAAGACUGAAGGAAAGGUCAUCCAGAAAUAGCUCUACCUAGAGAUCUAUCCCAUCUGCAGACACCAAAUCCAGACAACAAUAUUGAUGCCAUGAAGUGCUUGAUGAUGACGGGAGCCUAGUAUAGCUGUCCCCUGAGAGACUCUGGAAGAGCCUGAUCAAUACAGAUGUGGAUGCUUGCAGACAACCAUCAGACUGAGCACUGAGACCCUGAUGGAAGAGUUAGGGGAAGGACUUAAGGAGCUGAAAGGGUUUGCAACCCCAUAGAAGGAACUCCAAUAUCAACUAACCAGACAGCUCAGAGCUCCCAGGGACUAAACAACCAACCAAAGAAUACACAUGGAGGAAUCAUGGCUCCAGCUGCAUAUGAAGCAGAGGACUGCCUUAUCUGGCAUCAAUGAGAGGGAAGGCCUUUGGUCCUGUUGAGACUUGAUGCCCCCAUGUAGGUGAAUGCUAGAACAAUGAGGCAGGAGUGGGUCGGUAGGUGGUGGAGCUCCAUUAUAGAAUCAGGGGACGGGGGGGAUGAGAUAUGCGGUUUGUGGAGGGAAAUCAGGAAGGAGGAUAACAUUUGAAUAGUAGAUAAAUAAAAUAACCAAUAAAAAUGUACCAAAGGAAAUUCUAAUUAUUUUAGACAUAUUUGAAGGUAUAAAGAAUGUAAGAGAUUCACAUGGGAGUGAGAAAUGUUGUUGGGAGACCUUUGAUUUAAAUUACCCCAGGGUGACCAAUUGUCACUGUAGUGAAAGACGGGUAUGAGCCAGAGUUUGUGAAGUCCACAAGGAUGUGUUCUCUGAAGUUGCUACAAUUCUGAGAUGAGAAAUAUGAAUAUAAGAGGGCUCUCCGGAAGCACUACAGCAAAGGAAGGGCUUAGAAGUUCUCUGUGGAUUCCCUCUACUCCCAUGAUGAAGGGGUCUUUGAUAUGAUUUCUUUUCUCAAUUCAUGAAAUCACCUGAUUUUAGCUUUUAUUCAUAUAUUUCCCCCCUUUUUAUUGUAGAAAAUUCUAUACCCAUUUUUGAAGCUUUUCUCAUCAUUCUUAAAAGUGUUUUUUUUAAUAAUACAUGUCUUUCUUUUAAUAGACAUGACUCAUAGUUUUCAUUUUAUUUUGCAAUGGGUAAAAGUGUCAGAUUUUAAAUUUAGAAGCAAAGGGAGUGUUUUAUACUGAGGAAGCUGAAAGCCAUUGUGAGUUCUGAACAUUUGUCCCAAUAGUAUAUUUAAUCAUUAGUUUACUUAAUAAAGAUCACAGUCACAGUGAACACUGUUCAUAAAUUUUCAGUUCUUACAAAAAGAUUUAAUUUAGUAGGAAUGCCUUGAAUAGAAAAAAUAUUUUUACAAUAGAAUUCAUCAGGUGAGGGUCUCUAUUUUUACAUUAUUUGGCAUCUGGAAAGGUAAACUUUAUCCAGUGGAAAAAAAAUAUGAACAGCAUGUAAAUGAUAUCUAAUUAUCAGUAAUUGAAUGGUCAAAGGAGGUCAAAAGGAUACAAAUUGGAAAGGAUGAAUUCAAAAUAUCACUAUUUGCAGAUGAUAUGAUAGUAUACUUGAGUGACCCCAAAAAUUUCACCAGAGACUCCUACAGCUGAUAAACAAUUUAAGCAAAUUAGCUGGAUAUAAAAUUCACUUAAAAAAAUCAGUAGCUUUCCUAUACUCAAAGGAUAAAUGGUCUGAGAAAGAAAUUAUGGAGGCCAGACCCUUUACAAUAGUCACAAACAAUAUAAAAUAUCAUGGUAUGACUCUAACCAAACAAGUGAAAAAAUCUGUACGACAAGAACUUCGAAGUUUCUGAAGAAAGAAGUCAAAGAAGACUUCAGAAGAUGGAAAAAUCAUCCAUGCUUGUGGACUGGCAGGAUUAAUAUAAUAAAAAUGACCAUCGUUCUGAAAGCAAUAUACAGAUUCAGUGCAAUACUCAUCAAAAUUCCAACUCAGUUCUACAUUGAGUUAGAAAGAGCAAAUCUGAAAUUCAUUUGGGAUAAGAAAAAACCCAGGAUAGUGAAAACUAUUCUCAACAAUAAAAGAACUUCUAGGGGAAAUCACAGUCCCUGACCUCAAGGUGAGCAAUAGUGAUAAAAAACAAAACAAACAAAAAAAAUGCAUGGUAUUGGUACGAUGACAAGCAGGUAGAUCAGUGGACUAGAAUUAAAGACCCAGAAAUGAACCCACACACCUAUGGUCACUUGAUUUUUGAAAAAGAAGCUAAAACCAUCCAGUGGAAAAAAAAAGACAGCAUUUUCAAUAAAUAGUGCUGGUUCAACUGUCAGUCAACAUAUAGAAGAAUGCAAACUGAAUGCAAACAAAGCUCAAGUCCAUGUGGAUCAAGGAAGUCCACAUAAAACCAGAUACAAUGAAACUAAUAGAAGAGCAAGUGGGAAAGACCCUCGAACACAUGGGCACAGGGGAAAGUUUCCUGAACAGAACACAAUUGGCUUAUGCUCUAAGAUCAAGAAUUGACAAUGGGACCUCAUGAAAUUGCAAAGCUUCUGUAAGGCAAAGGACACUGACAAUAUGACCAAAUAGCAACCAACAGAUUGGGAAAAACGAUCUUGAACAAUCGUACAUCUGAUAGAGGGCUAAUAUCUAAUAUAUAC